GGUACGGGGAGGUGCCAGGAGGGAGAGCUUCCGAACCCGGAAGUUCGUCUCCGUCCUGCCGUUUUCAGCUGCGGGAGAGGUUUCCGAACCGGGAUCUCGGUCCUGGGCGAUGCUGGAAAGCAUUUCUCCCCAAACUGCCAACCCCCUGGAAAUCUCUCUACCUGACCCACUCUCCCAGUUCCACUCGGAGAACUACUCUCUUCUUGGCAGUGAUGGACUUGUGGAAAAUGUCCCUUGACUUCCUCGCCCCAGCAAGGGAGUUGUGGGGGGUGGGUUCUUGGUUAGGUUCCUUGCCUCUCCUUCCCCACUGGUGCCCCCAUCUUCAGAAACAAAUCCACUCGCUAUGCUUAGGCUAGGAGAACCUUUCUUCCUGGAGUGGACAUGUCUGGUUUCUGGAGGAGACCUAGGAACUAGUCAGUGAUGGAAAUUGUAAGUAACCAAAGAAGUUUGAGCCACUAAAAAAUUAGUCCUUUAGCGCUCCUUGGCUUUGAUCCUGAACUCAUUUUGUGGUCCAGUCAAUCGUGAGUGAAAGACGAUUGUUGAUGACUAAUUUCAACAAGCAAAAUAUGCCCACCAUACCUCUUGGAGAGCUGACCCCCCCCCAGCUGAGGCCUUUAUGGGCGAACUUAAAAGUCCCUGUUACUUCCACGAAGGCUUCUUGGCUCUUAGAAAUAACUGCUGUUUCCCCUCUACCUGACAGGGAUAAGAGAGUCUCAAAGUGUAUUACCUAGAUUAGUUUUAUUACCAAAUGUUAUUUUAUUUCUAUAAAUACCAUUAUGUUUGAGCAUGCUCUGUGGACUUGUUAUGGUUGAUGUCACUUUUGUCCUCUAAAAAGCAAGGAUCACAUUUAGUUUAACAUGCUCCUAAAGAUGCUGUUGAUGAUGCAGACAAUGAUCGAAAAAAAUCAAGCCACUUAAAGUCAAAGCUCUUCCAAAUGAAUGGAAAUACUCUUUUUCCAAGAAAAACUUGACCUUUAUGGGGAAAAAAAUUCAAGCAAUGAAAAAGCAAAAGUCCUCCCUAAUACCACCCCCAGAGACACCCUUUGGUAACAGUGUGAGAUUUAUUGUAAGGAAUUGGCUUAUGAAAUAUGGAGGCCAAGAAGUCCUAAGAUCUGUAGUCCACAGGCCUGAGAACCAGAAAAGCCAAUGGUAGAAGUUCCAGUCCAAGUCUGAAGACAAAAGAUUGACAUCCCACCUUGAAGGCCAUCAGGCAGAGACCAAAUUCUCUCUUGCUCAGCUUUUUUAUUUACUCAGGCCUUUAGCAGUUGAAAUGAGGGCUGCCCACACUGGCGAAGGCAAUCUGCUUUACUCAGACUACUGAUUCAAAUAAUCUCAUCCAGAAAAACCCUUAAAAAAACACCCAGAAUGUUUAACCAAAUAUCUGGGCACUCUAUGGCCCAACCAAGUUAACACAUAACAUUAGCCAUCCACUGAAAUCAUGGGCUCCAAAGUCAAGCUGCCUGAGUCUGAAUUUGACUUCUCACUUCUAGUCCGAGACUUUAGGGAAGGUACUUGGCCAAUCUGUGCCUCAGUGUCCUCAUCUGUUACAGGAGGCGUCUGUAGUGGGAUAUGCUUUUCAUCUGCCCGGCUUCUCUUUAGUGAUCCUAUUUUCCCUGCACUUAGGUCUUCUCAAAGAUGCAUACAUAACUAGGUUUAGUCAGGGAACCUUAUCCUGGCUAUAGCCAGGGCCCUCCCUGGGCUAACUUGCUAGAUUUGCCUUCUGAGAUCAAAUGUCCUUUGGACCUUGUGAGCCUGAAGUUACAGAGGAACUCUCCAUGUGGAUUUAGGCUGCCUGGGGAUGGAGCCAACGCAGAGGAAAGGAGAGAGAUGGAGAGAGAGAGAGAGAGACUAAAUCAUCAAGACAUUGUUUGAGUUCUUGAAUCCAACUAAAUCAGAAGCCUGAACUACCCUGUGGACUUUUCAGUUACAAGAAUCGAUAAAUUCCUUUUUUAU